rnacentral:rRNA from 1 species
UACGUAGGGCGCAAGCGUUAUCCGGAAUUAUUGGGCGUAAAGAGCUCGUAGGCGGUUUGUCGCGUCUGCCGUGAAAGUCCGGGGCUCAACUCCGGAUCUGCGGUGGGUACGGGCAGACUAGAGUGAUGUAGGGGAGACUGGAAUUCCUGGUGUAGCGGUGAAGUGCGCAGAUAUCAGGAGGAACACCGAUGGCGAAGGCGGGUCUCUGGGCAGUAACUGACGCUGAGGAGCGAAAGCGUGGGGGAGCGAACAGG